UACGUAGGGGGCAAGCGUUGUCCGGAUUUAUUGGGCGUAAAGCGCUCGCAGGUGGUUCGAUGCGUAGUGCGUGAAAGCCCCCGGCUCAACUGGGGAGUGUCGUGCGAUACGGUCGAACUGGAGGCCAGUAGGGGGAUGCGGAAUUCCGGGUGUAGUGGUGGAAUGCGUAGAGAUCCGGAGGAACACCAGCGGCGAAGGCGGCAUCCUGGACUGGUCCUGACACUCAUGAGCGAAAGCGUGGGGAGCGAUCCGG
rnacentral:rRNA from 1 species